UACAGGGUGCGAUAAUUCAAUAUUUUUAGCCGUACCUGACUGGUACUCCGACAACUUUUGCCGCGUACCUGGUCUGGUACAAACUUAAGAGUCAAGACGUACCUAAGACUACUGUACUUCCGAGUCAUGCGUUUUUAUACCUACGUAUAGUUCAUUGGUCCAAAAGCAAGAAAUGUAUGGGCAAUUUUGUACAAAUGAAUCUUUAAUUACGGUAUUUGUACAACAUAAUAUAACAGUUUUCAAAGCAUCGACGUUGUGACUCGAAUGCCAUCGCUCAUUUACAGUGGAUUUACCGAGGGUGCUAACAGUCUGACCUCAGCUACAUACAGUGUAGUUUUCCUCACUGGACCUAAAAAAAACCUGUGGUUCCGGUUUCAUAUCGCGAAAAAAUUAGGGUAAGUAGGUCGGAAAUAAUUUUUUUUUAAAUAUUUUUUUCAUGGUUUUGGCGGUUUUUUGCUGGGCGAUUUUCAGUAGAGUCCCGACAUAACUAGAGAUGCGUAGUUCGUACGGAUGAUUUUAGGCAAUUUGGUUCAAUAAUUAUUGUGACAACAGACGCCAUUUUGGCACGCUGUACGAGCAGCCCGCAACCACCCGGAGAAAAUAGCGUCGCACAGUCAAUCGUGUUGAUAAAAUAAUAGGGUGGGCAGAAAAAAAUAGGGUCGGUCGGGAAACCGGAACCACAGGUAUUUUAUUUUUAGGCCUUGGUAUGGCAUUGACAAUUAAGCCCAGGUCACACCACACAACGAUGAUACGAUAACUUCUAAACACGCGAUGAUUGGUAAAAAAAUUACGUUGGUGUCCACACUACAACAAACACGAUAAAAUUAUCGGCGUUUGACGAUAACGAUUUUAAAAUCGCUCACCCGAGUGAUUUUUUUUCAGUCGGAUGAUGACGAUAAAUUUUUUGAUCAAGCGCAAAGAUUUUUUGGCUUUUUUCAUCCCAAAAUAUGUCGGAAGCGUGGAAUUUACAUGUACAGCUAAAGUCCUUCACGAUUUUGAAUACUUUGGCAGGUUUGCUUGUUAUUGCUAGAAGGUAAUGUAAGUACGCGAAUAGCAAAUUCCCGCGUACCUACGUGGUACCUGCCUAAAAACAAGGAAGUACCAGACCAUAAAUUUGGCGUACCUCCGGUACGUUGGUACGCGAAUUAUCGCAC